ACAAACUUAAAAGUGUGUGUGUGUUUGUGUGUCACUCUGUUCGAGUCUGCACAAGAGUUUAAUGUUGUCAUUACCUGUUACCUGCUCUUUCUGACCAAUCGCAGUUCAAGGCUCACCAAUCGGCUUGGUGGCGACGUUGACAGUUUGUGAGAGGUUUGCGGACGAACAGCUCAGGCUGCCGGAUGGCGCUGCAAGAAACUUUUAUAAACGCAAUAUUGUUAUUCCGCAGUAAUCAGCCCGACAGCCCCGAAACGUUAACGGCCCACCGGGAGUUCUCCCGACUCUCCCGAUUACCACUGUGUGUGUGUGUGUGUGUGUGUGUGUGUGUGUGUGUUAUUCGAUAGCAUGGUAAUGUGUAUAGGCCUACGUACAUUUUUCACCCGGCCGCCAUCUUCCUCGGAAUCCAAGAUGGUAGCACGCCUGUACCUGUGUGACUGACUACCUGUGUAACCUGUGUGUGUUUAAGUGUGUGAGUGGCUAGUGUCAGUGUUAAGGAUAUAUCUGUUCAUUUACAACAUAACCUACCGACCAAUUUGCAAGUUGUUUGGAAAAUACAGCCACUUAAUGCCUGUUGUUGGUCAGUCUGAAGAUCCGUGACUGGAAACGCAGUUUGGAAACUGUCUCAGUCCGAGCAUUCAAAUUGACGCUUUACUAAAGCAUGGCCAGACCAGACACACACAAGCCCGUUUGAAUAGGGAGCCCGUCCGUCGUGCUGUGAAAUUGGAUCAUCUGUGCGGUGUAUCCUGCAUUGUCGCUGAUUGUGGAGGAUCUGGAACGCUCCAUCUGUCAGGACGAAGAAGCGCUGUUCUCCCGGACCUGCUGGAACGCUGACGCAUCGUUGAUUUUGAUGGGUCCAAAUUUCCGAUGACAAAGGAAAGUGCUUCUAUCUUUGGAUGCUGAUGUUUGAAACUGUUUUUAGCCGCUGACUAGUCCGGAGUUUAAUUCAUUUAUUCUGAAUGUUUUGUAUCACCGACCUCUCUUCCUGUUUAUGUGCGACGUCACGCAACGUCAUUAACUGACUCAGCAGAGGCUCAGGCUCAGGUGAACGAGAAAACGCGGACUGGAUUAUCUUUGCGCCAACUUGUCAGCAUGUUUUUCUCAGCACCUCUUCUACUUUUAUUGACUGUUCUUCAACAACACAAGACGCAUGAAUUAUGUGGAGACUUAAUCAUGCCUCAUCAUUCUUUGUCUCUUCAAAAAUGCACAAACUGGGAAAAACCUCAAUGGAGCUGUCCCAACUGGAUUAUUCAAAAUGAGGAUCGGACUCAUUAUUUUACUAACAUAUUUAGCGCAUAUGACUGGUUGUUUUCGUUUUAUUCUUCUCACACAGGUGGACAGGGGGUUAGGUAUACUCAAGCAGUACCUACUCAAAACUAUUUGAAAAGAAAGUGUUUUAUUGUUCUUUUGCUUUUAUUGUCAGGAAAUGUUGAACCUAACCCCGGCCCUGAUUUUAAUUAUCUGAGUACCCCCUGUGAUUUUAAAGCUAGAUCUGGGCUUGGUGUUAUUCAUGUAAACGUUAGAAGUUUACUUCCUAAACUGGAUCUUGUAAAAAUUUGGGCUAAAACGUCUGACACUGACAUUCUUGUAUUGACAGAAACAUGGUUAAACAAAUCUGUAACAGACAAAGACAUUGCAAUUAAGGGCUACAAUGUUUUUCGUUGUGAC
ensembl:lncRNA